CACGUAGGGCGCAAGCGUUUGUCCGGAAUUAUUGGGCGUAAAAGAGCUCGUAGGCGGUCUGUUGCGUCCGCUGUGAAAACUCGGGGCUUAACCCCGAGCCUGCAGUGGAUACGGGCAGACUAGAGGUAGGUAGGGGAGAAUGGAAUUCCCGGUGUAGCGGUGAAAUGCGCAGAUAUCGGGAGGAACACCGGUGGCGAAGGCGGUUCUGCUGGGCCUUACCUGACGCUGAGGAGCGAAAGCGUGGGGAGCGAACAGGAUUGAG
rnacentral:rRNA from 1 species